rnacentral:rRNA from 1 species
GACGAACGCUGGCGGCGUGCCUAAUACAUGCAAGUAGAACGCACAGUUUAUACCGUAGCUUGCUACACCAUAGACUGUGAGUUGCGAACGGGUGAGUAACGCGUAGGUAACCUGCCUGGUAGCGGGGGAUAACUAUUGGAAACGAUAGCUAAUACCGCAUAAUAUUGAUUAUUGCAUGAUAAUUGAUUGAAAGAUGCUAUUGCAUCACUACCAGAUGGACCUGCGUUGUAUUAGCUAGUAGGUGAGGUAACGGCUCACCUAGGCGACGAUACAUAGCCGACCUGAGAAGGUGAUCGGCCACACUGGGACUGAGACACGGCCCAGACUCCUACGGGAGGCAGCAGUAGGGAAUCUUCGGCAAUGGACGAAAGUCUGACCGAGCAACGCCGCGUGAGUGAAGAAGGUUUUCGGAUCGUAAAGCUCUGUUGUAAGGGAAGAACGGGUGUGAGAGUGGAAAGUUCACACUGUGACGGUAUCUUACCAGAAAGGGACGGCUAACUACGUG